CAUGCAAGUCAUAGGCUCGCAAGAGUACUGGCACAAGGCUCAGUAACACGUCGAUAAUCUGCCUUACGGUCUGGGAUAUCCUCGGGAAACUGAGGUUAAACCCGGAUAAGAGCUACGCACUGGAAGGUCGUUGCUCGUAAAAGUAAUGCCGUAAGAUGAGUCGGUGGCUGAUUAGGCUGUUGGCGAGGUAACGGCUCACCAAACCUAAGAUCAGUAGGGGGGAUGGAAGUCCUAGCCCCGAGAAGGGCACUGAGAUAAGGGCCCUAGCCCUAAGGGGUGCAGCAGCCGGGAAACCUUUGCAAUGCACGAAAGUGUGACAAGGGAACUCCACGUGCAUAUCGUCACUUGAUGGUAUGCUUUUGUUAAGUGUAAGGAGCUUAGCGAAUAAGUGGUGGGCAAUACCGGUGCCAGCCGCCGCGGUAAUCCCGGAGCCACGAGUGGGGACCAGUUCUAUUGGGUCUAAAGCGUCCGUAGUCGGUCGUGAAAGUUUCUUGUGAAAUAGUUCUUCUUAAGGGAACUGAGUGCAAGGAAUACUCCACGACUUGAGACCGGGAGGGGGCAGGAGUAUGCCAAGGGGAGCGGUAAAAUGCGAUAAUCCUUGGUAGACUACCAAUAGCGAANGCACCUGUCCAGAACGGGUCUGACGAUCAGGGACGAAAGCUAGGGGAGCAAAAGGGAUUAGNAUACCCCUGUAGUCCNAGCCGUAAACACUGCAAACUAAGUGUUACAUAUCCUUCGUGGGUAUGUAGUGCUGGAGCGAAGGCGUUAAGUUUGCCACCUGGGGAGUACGGCCGCAAGACUGAAACUUUAAGGAAUAGGCGGGGGCGCACUACAAGGAGUGACGCGUGCGGUUUAAUUUAACUCUACACAGAAAACCUCACCAGGAGCGACGGCAGUAUGAAGGUCAGAUUAAAGGUCUUACCUAACGAGCCGAGAGAUGUUGCAUGGCCGCCGCCAGUUCGUGCCGCAAGGUGUCUGGUUAAGUCCAGUAACGAACAAGACCUGCGUCCAUAUUUGCUAGCGAGUCGUUUCGAUGAUCGAGCACUAUAUGGGGACUGCCUGGGUAACCAGGAGGAAGGUGCAGGCAACGGUAGGUCUGUGUGGCUCGAAUCCUCUGGGCUACACGCGCGCGGCAAUGGCAACGACAAUGGGAUGCAACUCCGUAAGGAGAAGCCAAUCCUCGAAACGUUGCCCUAGUUUAGAUUGAGGGCUGUAACUCGCCCUCAUGACACCGGAAUUCCUAGUAAUCGCUCGUCAACAGCGAGCGGUGAAUACGUCCCUGUGCCUUGCACUCACUGCCCGUCAAGCCAAUCGAGCAGGGUCCGAGUGAGGCUCAAUCUUCGGGUUGAUACGAACUCGGGCUCAG
rnacentral:rRNA from 1 species